GACGAACGCUGGCGGCGCGCUUAACACAUGCAAGUCGAACGGAAAGGCCUGCUUUCCCUUGUGGAUUGCGGGUACUCGAGUGGCGAACGGGUGAGUAACACGUGAGUGAUCUGCCCCCAACUUGGGUAUAAGCCUGGGAAACUGGGUCUAAUUCCCGAUAGGACUGCAGGGUGGUGCCUGUGGUGGAAAACGAUUUUCUAGUGGUUGGGGAUGAGCUCGCGGCCUAUCAGCUUGUUGGUGGGGUAAUGGCCUACCAAGGCGGCGACGGGUAGCCGGCCUGGGAGGGUGGACGGCCACGUUGGGACGGGGAUACGGCCCAGACACCUACGGGAGGCGGCGGUGGGAAUAUUGCACAAGGGGCGGAAGCCUGAUGCAGCGACGCGGCGUGGGGGAUGACGGCCUUCGGGUUGUAAACUCCUUUCGACCGCGAGGAAGCCACCUGGUUGGAAGGGUGGUGACGGUAGUGGUAGAAGAAGCACCGGCUAACUACGUG
rnacentral:rRNA from 1 species